UCCCUAGUUAUAUUUUAUUAAAUUAAAGUUUUAUUUUAGCUUAUUUAUUUUUUUAAAAAAUAUUUUACAUGUAAUUUGAAGAAAGACAAAUAAUGAAUCUAAAUGAUUAUUUUAUCUCAUAUUCGCAGUAUUUUAUAUUAAAAAUUAAAGUAAUUUAGAAUUAGUACAUUAAAAGUUUUGGUAAAAUUUGUGCCAGCCACCGCGGUUAAACAAAAGAGGCAAAAGAAUAUUAUUGGUUAAAGUUAAUUUUACAAACAAGAUUAUAAAAAUUUUAUUAGCAGGUGAAAUUAAAAUUAAUAAUAAAGUCAGGGAAUAUAAAGAUGAAACUUAAAAGAUUAGGCAAUAAACUAGGAUUAGAUACCCUAUUAUUCUAAUUAUUAAAAUAUAACUCGAGUAGUAACAGUUAAGAUCUUAAAACUCAAAAAUUUUGGCGGUGGCUUAACUAAUCAGAGGAAUUUGUUGUAUAAUCGAUAACCCCCGAUUUAAUAUACUUAAAUUAGGUUAACAGCUUGUAUACCGCCGUCAGCAGGAGAUUUUAUAAAAAUAUUUUCAAGAAAUAGAAAAUUGGAUGUCAGGUCAAGGUGCAGUUAAUAUUUAAGAACUAAUGAAUUACAAUAAUAUAAGUUAAACGGAAUUUAUAAUGAAAAAUAAAAGAAGGUGGAUUUGGGUGUAAUAUUAAAAAGAAUGUUAAUAUGAUAAAGGCUCUAAGCCGUGCACACAUCGCCCGUCGCUCUCAUUCCAAAUGAGAUAAGUCGUAACAUAGUAGGUGUACUGGAAAGUGUACCUAGAUUGA
rnacentral:ncRNA from 1 species